AGGUUGCUCCCAGAACAAGAAAAGUGGUUAUUUCAAGGCACUCUGACAUUGGUGAGUUUCGCAUUAAUUGUGAUUGUUUUGGUUUUGCUCGUUUUUCGCUUUCCAGUCUUAAUUCGCUUCAUUAACUCCUUGUUUGACUGUGAAAUAUGUUAAAUAAAUAUUGCUGUUACUUCGUUCACUCGCAUUGGCCACCAGGGUUUGAUUGUAAUUCAAAAACCACAAGAUACUGUAUAUAAUUUGUAAUUGUAGCUAAUUUGUAAUAUCGAUUCGAUAUGUAAGAUCCCUGUCACAUUUGUGGUGCUUAUAUGUAUAUCUGUGAGCGAAACGUUUAGCACGAUUUCACCUUAUAAUUGGUAAAAAUAUUUUUACUAUACAAGUAUAACUAUAAGACGUAUUAUGAGUCGAUUUUUCGAGUGAAGUAUGUACAGUUUUUCUGGAUACAAAUUUCGCCUCAGCGAAAUUGCAAAUCUCUUAUGAGGAUUCCAUGCAUAACUACGUGUUAUUAAGCUGGAUGAACGUGGAUGACAGCUCACGAGAGCUGGCAGUCACGAGAUCUUUGUUAGCUGUACUUUGUGCUUACUCAACACUAUCACGUAUUCUAUUUAAGUUAAAACAUAAUUGGAACACUCAUCAAACCAUUAUAUAUGUUGUUAAUACAAAGCUUGAAUUAUGUUCCCCGUAUAACAAUUCUUGACUGCCAAAUCUCAUCAACUCUCAUCCUUGUUCGACCGUGGGACUUUAAAUAUUUAAUGUUUAAUCAAUAUAAAUAAAUACCAGUUAUAUAUACACUGUAAAUUCAUGCAUACAUAAGAACCACAAAAAUACGGAAUAAGCUAAUAGUGAUAGCCUACUUUAAAUGAGUUUCAACUAAAUUGUCAAAACAUCAUAACUAUAUUUUGCAACUAUAUGUAGAGGCAUAAUUGCUUUGACUUUGAGUUUGACUAGCUUGCAUGGCCAUUAUGUAUAAGUAAAAAAUAUGAAGAGAACGAAGAAUUUAUUUCACAAAGAUUAUUUAAUAUACGAUUAACUCUAAUAUUGGUGAGCUUUGUAUUGCAUAUACUGGACAUCAAAGAAUGUCGUUCGUCCCCAAUCUCAUUUAAUAGAUCACAAUGAAUGUUUACAUAUAUACUCUUUCACCUUACGAAACAUUGUUGCAUAUCGACCAGUUUCAACCGAUAAUCUAUGAGCUGAUAUUCUUAACUUUGUAACAGCUUGACGGUAUUUGAAAUUGUUUAUCUCGUCCUUGUGUUCAAAUUGCCUGAAACAGACUUAAAAAUAACGUUUCUAUACAUGUGCUUGUAAAAUUACCUGAAACACAUCGGUUUUUCCUCAGUCGAGGACAUUUUCAGUGGCAAGAUAGACCGUUCGAUGAGUAUAAGGUAUAAAAAUACAAAAUCUAUUACCACCGUGGAUCCAUGCUCUCAAGAUAUUGAUACGAUAAAAAAAUGCAGUUCGGCCUUUCGAGAAAAGUUGCAGAGAAGGGUUUUGUAGAUGGAAUUGGCGAGUGUGAAUUUUAUACAUUAAAGGACAUUGGCAAUAAAAAAGUUUGUAUCAUUCAAAAGAACUCUUAAAAUUGUAUAAUUAAACUCUAUUACCGAUUUGUCAUAUCUUGUUUAUAGUUCUCGAAAUAUUUAGACCAAAAGUAAUGAGCUGCAUGUCCGCCAUCUUGGACUAUUCUUGACCUCCUUAACUAUGGUUUUGAUGACGUCAGGAGUUGGGUUAACCAUAUAAAACUACUCUAAAAUGACCGGCGAGUAACAAUUCAAAAUUGUUUGAAAUGUUCUAAAUCAUUUCUAAAUUUCAGACAGCAACCAGAAACGAAGUUUUGGACCCAUAUUGAUCACUUAUACUCUCAAGAUAAAAAAUUAGCGUCACCCCUCUCAGAUGGCAAACAGUUCACAUUUUUCAGUCGAAAUAUUUUGGCAACUAAGCAAGAUAUAAACAAUCUGUAAUAGAGUUUCGUAUAUAGUUUUAAGAGUUCUUUCAAAUGAACUAAACUAAUUUUUUUAUUGCCAGCCAUUCAGUUUUAUUGCCGGCCAACCUGUGCCUAUAGUCGGUACUUAUUUUGUUUAUAUGUAAAACAGUAGUUUUAAUUGGUUGUUCAUUUGGACGUAUCUAUGUGAAAAGCUAUAAACGAGCUUUGUACAGUCCAGGGAAAUUUGCUUACCAUAUAUCAGCAUUGUUCUAUAGCUAUUUUAAUAUGGACAAAUAUUGAUUCUGAACAAAACAUGCUUUGGUGAGGGAACGAUCAAAUUGAUUGCUAUUGCAUGACAUCAGGAAAUAAAAAAAAAAACGAAAUAGGUCAUGAAGUAGGCUGUUAAGCUGCAUUUGUAGAAAAUAGCAUUUAUAUAUCGAUUGACUGAUGCAUGCAAUGCCACUUAUUUUUUUUGGCACUGAAUGGUGGGGGGUGCGCAGACAGACAAUAAUAUUGACUGCAUGAUUUCGUUCUGGUAUUUUUAGGUUAUGGUUUUGUCGCUGGCAGUGAGAAACCUGUGCUCAUCAGAUCGGUCGCAGAAGGUACUUCAUUUUAUCAUUUUGUGAUUCAUUUGCUAGAAACACCAUUCCAUGAUUAUGUUAAUUUGUUAAAGCUUUCAGUCCGUAACUCGUAAGCCUGAAAGUUUGUUGGCGUAAACAAUGUUGUUUGCACUAAUGAUGACAUGCAGGGUUCGACAUCAUUUUGAAAACUCGGUCUGACAAUUUGUCAGACCAACGACAUCAUUGCACAAUAACGAUUUAUACUAUAAUAACACGAAAGAGAAAAGCUGCAUACGGCACUUUGCACUGUAAUUAUAGUUCACUUGCAAUACGGAAUUUGCAAUUCAUGAAUAUCACAAAUUGAAUGGAAUUUGUCUAUAUAGAUUAGUAAGAGUUUGGUUUGCAAGAAUGAGUGUCGGGAGGAAUUAAAAAAAAGAAAAGGGUUGAGAGGGAUCAGCCACCUGAAAAAUACAUGCAAGUAAAACUUCAGUCGACGUUUCGAGCGAAGGCCCUUCGUCGGGAAGUUAAUGGCUACUAACUCAAUGGACCAUUUGCAUUAUAGACUAAAUUUUGAUCUAGACAAAAAUUUCAUCACAUGCAGCUAGGCUGGAUCGAUAUCGCAAAUACCGAAUACCGAUAUACCGCCAUCAGAAUACCGGUAAAUACCGGUAUCCCGGUGUUUUUAACGUGUUUUUUUUUAAGCCAAACUGAAGUGCUGACCGUCAAGAGAAAUCAAGUUUUGGCAAAAUAUUAAUGUGGCACAUACUGUUAUUAGUGCAAAUGUCACAAGAUUCGCAUUAUCAAGCUAUGUUAACAAUUAACAGCGCUAAGCUGCAAUUAUUAGUAGGGCGUCGAAGUGUUGAAUCAUUCAGAAAAAUAUUCGUUUUGUAUAUAAAUUCAGAUAGUGUUUCAGUAAGCUGUUAAUAGUUAUAAACAUAAAAAACGUUGCAUUUUUAAAACUAACACAUAAACAAGUUAGCAUGUCAGUUAAAUAAGAUUAAAAACAACAAAAAGUUACCUUCUUAUACUGCCCGAUAAAAAAACUUGAAAAGCCAGAAAAGGUUUUCGCUGCUUCGCAAAUGCUAGUACUUACACUUUCCAAAAUCAAAGUUUCCUUUUUUGUCGAAAUUUUCCUUUAAAAAUUUCGCCAUUUAUAUAUUUCCGGUUAAGGCGAUUUAAUAAACAAGACGUCUGGUCUGGUUACUGGUAUUGCUAAACCAAAGCCGCUAGAACUGUAAGAACAAAAUCAUGCAUCUGUGAGUAUUAACUUUGCUUUCUAAACGUGAUUGUAAGCAAGUUUGCCUUGAAAUAGCGUUUCAUUUCGGUAUUAGGCAGCAAAAUAUCGAAAUGUCGGGAUAUCGGUAUUUUUAAAUUGUCAAUAUCGCCAAACCGG